rnacentral:ncRNA from 1 species
CCAGAAAAAGGCAAACCUGUCGCGAGGCAGGGGCGCAAAGCCACGGAGCUCUCGAAGCUAGCCGGGCUGCCUGGG